UGGCGGACGGGUGAGUAAUGUCUGGGAAACUGCCCGAUGGAGGGGGAUAACUACUGGAAACGGUAGCUAAUACCGCAUAACGUCGCAAGACCAAAGAGGGGGACCUUAGGGCCUCUUGCCAUCGGAUGUGCCCAGAUGGGAUUAGUUAGUAGGUGGGGUAACGGCUCACCUAGGCGACGAUCCCUAGCUGGUCUGAGAGGAUGACCAGCCACACUGGAACUGAGACACGGUCCAG
rnacentral:rRNA from 1 species